ensembl:lncRNA
GCCUUGAAGCUGUUUUUUUGUGGAAAGUGUGAUCUCUUUUGAAGAGUUUAUUCCAAAAUUAUUCUGAGUUGAGAUAUUUCAGGAAACCUAGUCUUUUAGAAUCCUUAUUUGAAACAUUAAAAAAAGAUAUGAAAAUCAAUUAACUUCACACAUGAAAAAAUUCUUCAUAUGGUUAAUCUUCCUUUACAUACUUUCUUGAUUAUGUUUGGAAGUAAAUUGCUGUGAUUAUACCUUGGAUGGAAAGGAAUGUCUUUUAAUUAAUUUGAGGCAUGCUGUCGUGAUGCUGAUUUGAACCAUAGAAUGAGAAAUUGGGUUGAGAGCUACAAGUCUCUCUGAUAGGAGUGAGCAGAAGUUGGAAUUUUAUUUUAUUUUUGGUUGAGUGGUGGACUUGGAGUUCUGCUUUCUUAAAGGGACAAACUGAAAAUCCCGUCCCUUAUUUGGAAGUCAGGCUGAGUUUUAUUGGCCUUUUGUUGCAUGAGAAUUUGUGAGGGCAUUUUACAAACUUCUCCUGUUUUCUUUCUUAUUUUUUAAAAAAGUAAAGACUCUGAUGCUGGGAAGAUCGAAGGCAGGAGGAGAAGGGGAUGACAGAGGAUGAGAUAGUUGGAUGGCAUCAUGGACUCAAUGGACAUGAAUUGGAGCAAGUUCCGGGAGACCGUGAAGGGCAGGGAAGCCUGGCCUGCUGCAGUCCAUGGGAUCGCAGAGUCAGACACGACUGAGCGACUGAACAACAACAACAACAGAUUACCAGGGUCAUCAGCAGAGACACUGCCUACAAAGAUACGGAUUUUGAAUGACAGAGCUGAAUAGACCAGGGUUAAAAGAAGACUUACUCCAUCCAAGGAAUCUUUUAUAGAUGAGCAGAGGAUUUGGCGUUAUAGGUGGAUUCUUUACUGCUGAGCCACCGGGGAAGAUCCCAGACAGAGAUGCAGCCUUCCUCAAAAGUAUCCUCAGAUUCUGGAAUGAAUUCCCGUGAUGACUGCCUGCUGGCAUUCGUCUCUCCCACCCGCCGCCAACCCUGUGCAAGCAUGUCCCUCAGUCAUGUCCAACGCUUUGCCAGCCCCAUGAACUGUAGCCUGCCAGACUCUCCUCUGUCCAUGGAACUUUCCAGGCAAGAAUACUGGUGUGAGUUGACAUUUCCUCCUCCAGGGGAUCUUCCUGACCCAGGGAUUGAACCCAUGUCUCUUGCAUCUCCUGCAUUGGCAGGUGGAUUCUUCACAAUUGCACCACCUGCUAAGCCCAUUCGCCUCUUAGGUAUUUUGUGUUCUUAUUUGUGAUGUAUGUCUUUUGUAUUCCCCUCCCCCUUGAGCAUGGACUGGACCUAGUUACUUGUAUCUAAUAUAUAGAACAGUAGAGUGAAGGUGGUAGGAUAUCCCUCCAAGAGUAGGUUACAAAAGGCCCUUACUUCCAUCUUGCUAGCACUGUCUUUUCUUCUCUCUUGCUCUCCUGACGCGUCAGCUUCUAUGUUGUGAGCUACCCUAUGUGAAGGCCAACAACUCAUGAGGAGCCGAAGUCCUCAGUUCAGAAGGUCCCCAGGGACUGAAUCCUGCCAGCAAGAAUAUGGGUGAGCAGAAGUGCACUCUUUUUUCCCCCCAUUUAAGCCUUGAGAUGCCUGACUGUACUUGUGUGAGAACCCAGAGGCAGGGGAACCACUGAGGCUGUGCCCAGAUGCCUAAUCUAGAGAAACUAUCAGAUUAAAAUGGUGUUGCUUUAAGUCACUAAACUUUGGAGAAAUCUGUUACAUAGUAAUAGAUAGACUUCUCUGGUGGCUCAGAUGGUAAAAUCAUCUGUCUAUAAUGUUG